UAAAGUGUGGUGUAGUGGCUUGAGCACUCCACUAGGACCCUGGAGACUAGGGUUCAAAUCCCCACUUGAC